rnacentral:rRNA from 1 species
UACGGAGGAUGCGAGCGUUAUCCGGAUUUAUUGGGCGUAAAGCGCGCGUAGGCGGGUUUGUAAGUCGGUUGUGAAAUCCCUGGGCUUAACCUGGGUAUGGCAUCCGAAACUGCAAAUCUUGAAUACCUAAGAGGAUGGCGGAAUUCCCGGUGUAGUAGUGAAAUACGUAGAUAUCGGGAGGAACACCUGAGGCGAAGGCGGCUAUCUGGUGGUGUAUUGACGCUGAGGCGCGAAAGCGUGGGGAGCAAACAGG